GAAAUAGCAGUUAUAUCCAAGGCACGUUCUUCAAUUUAUGGAGUCACCAGAAUACAAUAGGUUUACACAUAUAGUCUUCGAUACUGCUCCCACGUGUUCUUGCAGGGACAUACUUUGCGGCU